GGCCUGUUAGCUCAUUUGGUUAGAGUGUGAUGUUGGUAACAUCAAGGUCAAGGGUUCAGAUCCCCUUACUGGCCA